rnacentral:rRNA from 1 species
AUUAAAUAUCUUGCUUAAGUUAUAUAAAAGUAAAAAAGCUAAAUAAUUAUAAAAGUAAUUUAAAAAAGUAAAAAUUAAAGUAAAAUUUAUUGAAAUAAUAAUGCAAGAGCCAUAGCAAAAAGUACUGUGUAGGAAAGAUUAAAUAAAAUGAAAACUCAAAAUAAACUAAAGCAGUUAUUAACUAUUGUACCUUGUGUAUCAGGGAAAAUUUAAUUUUGGUUUUCUAUCGAAAUAAAUCCCGAAAAAAGAAAMGCUAUCUUAAUAAAAAGUUAUCGUAUUAAAGAUAUUUUAAAUAUUAUGCUAGUAAUGAAAUGUUAAUCGAUUCUUUAUAUCUGGUUAUAAGCGAAUUAAAUUCAAUUUAGAGGUAUAGUAACUUAAAUAUUAUACCUUAAAGAAAAGGAGGAAAAAGCUUCUUUUUCUACAAAUAAUUUUACUGAGUUAAACAAAAAUCUGAUAAAUCUAAAAUUAGGCUUAGAAGCAGCCAUAUUUAUAAAGCGUUUUAGCUAAUAUAGCUGAAAUCUAAUAUUUAUAUAUAAAAACCAGCAAUAGUAGCUUAUAGAUUAGAAGACUAAUACAACUAAGGUUAAAAUGAUUUUAUAAGUAGAUAUAUUGCUGUGCUCGUAGAAAUGAUUUAAAAUAUUCAUAAUUUUAUAAGUGCAAGUUUAAAUAUAUAAUUAAGGAACUCGGCAAAAAAGCUUUUGCCUGUUUAUCAAAAACAUGUCUAUACGAAGGUAUGUAAAGUCUGGCCUGCCCACUGACUAAUAAUGUUUAAAGGGCCGCGGUAUCUUGACCGUGCGAAGGUAGCAUAAUCAUUAGUCUUUUAAUUAAAGGCUUGUAUGAAUGGUUGGACAAAAAGUAAGCUGUCUUCAGUUAUAGAAAUUGAAUUUGACUUUUAAGUGAAAAGGCUUAAAUAAAACAAAGUGACGAUAAGACCCUAUAAAGCUUUAUAGUGUAGCUUUUUAUUAUAAAUUAUAAAAUUGUAUAACUUAAUUUAAAGUAAAACUUUUUCGUUGGGGCGACGGAAAUAUAACAGAAAUAACUGUUUUUAUAUCAAUAAAACAAAUAUAUUUGGCCUAAAAUGAUCCUUUGCUAAAGAUUAAAAGAUUAAGUUACUUUAGGGAUAACAGCGUAAUCUUCUUUGAGAGUUCAUAUCGACAAGAAGGGUUGCGACCUCGAUGUUGAAUUAAGGUUCCUUUAUGGUGUAGCAGUUAUAAUCGGAGGUCUGUUCGACCUUUAAAUCCUUACAUGAUUUGAGUUCAGACCGGCGUAAGCCAGGUCGGUUUCUAUCUUUUGUAAAACUUAAAAAAUUACUUUAGUACGAAAGGAUUAAGUAAUUGAAAUAAUUUUGGAAGAAAGAUUAAUUUUAAUUUUAUUGCCUUGGCAGAAUUAUGCAUUAGACUUAGGAUC